rnacentral:lncRNA from 1 species
AUGGGCUGCCCGGAAUCAGAGUAUUUAAAAUAUAGCCUGCUUAUGAAAACCAAGGCUUUUUCUGCCAUAUUUCAGGCUUGUGGCCACUGCGCACCAGCAGUGUGUAUGCUGAGCAAGACGAGGACAACAGCUGUCCAGGGAUCUCAUUGCUGGAGACCACUCCACCCACAGUUGACACGUGGUGAUAGAGAAUACGAAGGAGGAAGAGGUGCCAGACAGGAUAAAUGAAUGCAAACAAAUCCUUUUCCUAAAUGAAUGUUACUACGCUUUGUUUCAAAUGAAUCUGGCCACAGAUGGUUGGAUAAAGGAGAACUACCUACUCAAACACAGAAGCUACAAGCUAAUCAUUGUUCUACAAGCUAAGACAGAAGAGGUGUGCCCAGUAAGGUACUAGAUACGUGAUGGAGACCUGAUGAUCCAAUCAAAGGUUCAUCCCCAAAAGACAGUUUCAGUUGGGAGAAAAUGAAAUAUUUGGUAGCAGCCUGAAGACGAGAGCUAAUUAAAACAGAUAGAGUAAUAGGCUCAACAUUAUGGCAGGGCGCUAGUGCUGGAAGAAGAAGACAAUUGCUUCUGAGGUGAGAGACAUCUUUCCCCAUCAUGGGCAUAUAUGCUUCGCAUCCAGAGCAAUUCUAUUCAAUUGAGCCUUGUCUGUGCCACUGUUAAGGUGGUUUCUUAUGCUUGACUUAUUCUUGAUUUGCCUUGAAAAUAGACUCCAUCCAGCGAAGUCACUUCAUUAAGUCUCUGAUCUUUAAAAUUCAUACAUGAUAGUACAAUUUAAAGAAGUUAUAUUAUCUCACUACCAUCACUAACAUUGAUACAGUAAAUUUCUUUUGAAUAUGAAGUGAAUUGCAAGAAACCAGCAUGAAAGUGCUUUUCUAUUUUCUGUGUU